rnacentral:misc_RNA from 1 species
UUUCCGUAGGUGAACCUGCGGAAGGAUCAUUCAUAAUAAAGUGUUUUAUGGCACUUUUUUAAAAUCCAUAUCCACCUUGUGUGCAAUGUUAGAUCUCGUCAAUCUUGGCGAGAUUUUUAUACAUCAACUCAUUCUUUAACUAAUUUGUCUGAAAAAUAUUAUGAAUACUUAAUUCAAAAUACAACUUUCAACAACGGAUCUCUUGGCUCUC